rnacentral:rRNA from 1 species
CUUUGGGAUAACCCUCGGAAACGGGGGCUAAUACCGGAUAUGACCUGGCUCCGCAUGGGGUUGGGUGGAAAGUUUUUCGGCCUGGGAUGGGCUCGCGGCCUAUCAGCUUGUUGGUGGGGUGAUGGCCUACCAAGGCGACGACGGGUAGCCGGCCUGAGAGGGCGACCGGCCACACUGGGACUGAGACACGGCCCAGACUCCUACGGGAGGCAGCAGUGGGGAGUAUUGCACAAUGGGCGGAAGCCUGAUGCAGCGACGCCGCGUGAGGGAUGACGGCCUUCGGGUUGUAAACCUCUUUCAGCAGGGACGAAGCGUGAGUGACGGUACCUGCAGAAGAAGCGCCGGCCAACUACGUGCCAGCAGCCGCGGUAAGACGUAGGGCGCGAGCGUUGUCCGGAUUUAUUGGGCGUAAAGAGCUCGUAGGCGGCUCGUCGCGUCGACCGUGAAAACUUGGGGCUCAACCCCAAGCCUGCGGUCGAUACGGGCAGGCUAGAGUUCGGUAGGGGAGACUGGAAUUCCUGGUGUAGCGGUGAAAUGCGCAGAUAUCAGGAGGAACACCGGUGGCGAAGGCGGGUCUCUGGGCCGAUACUGACGCUGAGGAGCGAAAGCGUGGGGAGCGAACAGGAUUAGAUACCCUGGUAGUCCACGCUGUAAACGUUGGGCGC